UGGGGAAUAUUGCACAAUGGGCGAAAGCCUGAUGCAGCAACGCCGCGUGAGUGAUGAAGGCCUUCGGGUUGUAAAGCUCUGUCUUUUGGGACGAUAAUGACGGUACCAAAGGAGGAAGCCACGGCUAACUACGUGCCAGCAGCCGCGGUAAUACGUAGGUGGCAAGCGUUGUCCGGAUUUACUGGGCGUAAAGGAUGCGUAGGCGGAUUUUUAAGUGAGAUGUGAAAACCCUAAGCUUAACUUGGGGACUGCAUUUCAUACUGGAAAUCUAGAGUGCGGGAGAGGAGAAUGGAAUUCCUAGUGUAGCGGUGAAAUGCGUAGAGAUUAGGAAGAACACCAGUGGCGAAGGCGAUUCUCUGGACCGUAACUGACGCUGAGGCAUGAAAGCGUGGGUAGCAAACAGGAUUAGAUACCCUGGUAGUCCACGCCGUAAACGAUGAGUACUAGGUGUAGGAGGUAUCGACCCCUUCUGUGCCGCAGUUAACACAAUAAGUACUCCGCCUGGGAAGUACGAUCGCAAGAUUAAAAACUUAAAGGAAUUGACGGGGGUCAUAGCUGUUUU
rnacentral:rRNA from 1 species